rnacentral:rRNA from 1 species
GACGAACGCUGGCGGCGUGCUUAACACAUGCAAGUCGAACGGUGAUGCUCCAGCUUGCUGGAGUGGAUCAGUGGCGAACGGGUGAGUAACACGUGAGCAACCUGCCCCAGACUCUGGAAUAAGCGCUGGAAACGGCGUCUAAUACUGGAUACGAAACUGGCCCGCAUGGGCAUGGUUUGGAAAGUUUUUCGGUUUGGGAUGGGCUCGCGGCCUAUCAGCUUGUUGGUGAGGUAAUGGCUCACCAAGGCGACGACGGGUAGCCGGCCUGAGAGGGCGACCGGCCACACUGGGACUGAGACACGGCCCAGACUCCUACGGGAGGCAGCAGUGGGGAAUAUUGCACAAUGGGCGAAAGCCUGAUGCAGCGACGCCGCGUGAGGGAUGACGGCCUUCGGGUUGUAAACCCCUUUCAGCAGGGAAGAAGCGAAAGUGACGGUACCUGCAGAAGAAGCACCGGCUAACUACGUG